rnacentral:rRNA from 1 species
AUAUUCCUGUACUCGGUGUUACUGCGAAGGGGGGACGGAGAAGGCUAGGCUAGCCGGGCGACGGUUGUCCCGGUUUAAGCGUGUAGGGGGAGUGACUUGGUAAAUCCGGUUACUUAUUCAACCCUGAGGCGUGAUGACGAUGCACUACGGUGCAGAAGUAGUUGAUGCCAAGCUUCCAGGAAAAGCCUCUAAGCAUCAGGUAACAUCAAAUCGUACCCCAAACCGACACAGGUGGUCAGGUAGAGAAUACCAAGGCGCUUGAGAGAACUCGGGUGAAGGAACUAGGCAAAAUGGUGCCGUAACUUCGGGAGAAGGCACGCUGGCGCGUAGGUGAAGAGACUUGCUCUCGGAGCUGAAGCCAGUCGCAGAUACCAGCUGGCUGCAACUGUUUAAUAAAAACACAGCACUGUGCAAACACGAAAGUGGACGUAUACGGUGUGACGCCUGCCCGGUGCUGGAAGGUUAAUUGAUGGGGUCAGCCGCAAGGCGAAGCUCUUGAUCGAAGCCCCAGUAAACGGCGGCCGUAACUAUAACGGUCCUAAGGUAGCGAAAUUCCUUGUCGGGUAAGUUCCGACCUGCACGAAUGGCGUAAUGAUGGCCAGGCUGUCUCCACCCGAGACUCAGUGAAAUUGAACUCGCUGUGAAGAUGCAGUGUACCCGCGGCAAGACGGAAAGACCCCGUGAACCUUUACUAUAGCUUGACACUGAACAUUGAGCCUUGAUGUGUAGGAUAGGUGGGAGGCUUUGAAGCGUGGACGCCAGUCUGCGUGGAGCCAACCUUGAAAUACCACCCUUUAAUGUUUGAUGUUCUAACUCGGCCCCGUAAUCCGGGGUGAGGACAGUGUCUGGUGGGUAGUUUGACUGGGGCGGUCUCCUCCCAAAGAGUAACGGAGGAGCACGAAGGUUAGCUAAUCACGGUCGGACAUCGUGAGGUUAGUGCAAAGGCAUAAGCUAGCUUGACUGCGAGAGUGACGGCUCGAGCAGGUACGAAAGUAGGUCUUAGUGAUCCGGUGGUUCUGAAUGGAAGGGCCAUCGCUCAACGGAUAAAAGGUACUCCGGGGAUAACAGGCUGAUACCGCCCAAGAGUUCAUAUCGACGGCGGUGUUUGGCACCUCGAUGUCGGCUCAUCACAUCCUGGGGCUGAAGUAGGUCCCAAGGGUAUGGCUGUUCGCCAUUUAAAGUGGUACGCGAGCUGGGUUUAGAACGUCGUGAGACAGUUCGGUCCCUAUCUGCCGUGGGCGUUGGAAGAUUGAGAGGGGUUGCUCCUAGUACGAGAGGACCGGAGUGAACGCACCACUGGUGUUCGGGUUGUCAUGCCAAUGGCAUUGCCCGGUAGCUAAGUGCGGAAAAGAUAAGCGCUGAAAGCAUCUAAGCGCGAAACUUGCCUCGAGAUGAGUCUUCCCUGGGGACUUGAUCCCCCUGAAGGAACGUUUAAGACUAAGACGUUGAUAGGCUGGGUGUGUAAGUGCAGCGAUGCAUUGAGCUAACCAGUACUAAUGAUCCGUGAGACUUAACCUU